rnacentral:ncRNA from 2 species
AUCGAACUUCGGGGCGGGGCGAAAUUCCCCACCGGCGGUAAUCCAGACAGCAAUACCCCCCUGGAAAGCCCGCGAGCGCCUGACGAUACUUUUAUUGCUCAGGGUCAGCAGAUCUGGUGAGACUCCAGAGCCGACGGUUACAGUCCGGAUGAAAGAAGAUCGAC